CAGUCGCCGCGGUAAUACAGAGGGUGCAAGCGUUAAUCGGAAUUACUGGGCGUAAAGCGCGCGUAGGUGGUUUGUUAAGUUGGAUGUGAAAUCCCAGGGCUCAACCUGGGAACUGCAUCCAAAACUGGCAAGCUAGAGUAUGGUAGAGGGUGGUGGAAUUUCCUGUGUAGCGGUGAAAUGCGUAGAUAUAGGAAGGAACACCAGUGGCGAAGGCGACCACCUGGACUGAUACUGACACUGAGGUGCGAAAGCGUGGGGAGCAAACAGGAUUAGAUACCCCAGUAGUCCCUGUCUCUUAUAC
rnacentral:rRNA from 1 species